rnacentral:lncRNA from 1 species
GAAAGGUUUCAGAUAUAUUUAUGAUUGGCAUAGUGAUUAUGUGCCAAUCAGAGGACAACACGUGGGAAUCAGUUCCCUCCUUCCACUGUAAGGGUCCUGGGGAUACAACUCAGGGGGUAGGGCUUGCCUUUCCUUGCUGAGCCAUCUUGAAGGAUGCAACAAUAUUUCAAUGUUUGUUUUUCUAGUUCUCUGUUGGGUCUGAAUUAGCUUGAUCCUUUCUUGAGGACAGUAGAAAAGUCUGGCUCAUCACCCAGACCGGUGAUUACAGCAGUAAUUUCUUUCAUCUGUGGUUGCACAGUGGAUCUGUCCAGAAGCAGCUGAGGACCUGGAGGCAUAAGCAGCAGUGCAGCUAAAGAUCCCCACAGGCAGUUACAUGGCCUGUAAGGUUAAGACAGGCUAGAUUAACCAGGACUUGCUCAACAAGCAUGUUGUCCCAGAAGCAAUUAGCAAAUCUUUUUUUUUUUUUUCUUCCUGAGACAGGGUUUCUCUGUGUAGCCCUGGCUAUCCUGGAACUCAUUCUGUAGACCAGGCUGGCCUCGAACUCAGAAAUCUGCCUGCCUCUGCCUCCCAAGUGCUGAGAUUAACGACGUGUACCACCACGCCCGGCUCAAUUAGUAAAUCUUAACCAGGCAUGGUGCCUAAGUGGAUGCCAUUGUAUAUAAAUAAGAAAAGGAGAGAAUAAAGAAGAAAGACACUAUUAUCAUUUGAGUUUUGCUCCCCUGGUAAUGCAAAAUGUCUUGCAAAAAUAAUUGCAUAUAAAGUCAUGCUUUCUAUUUUGUUUUUAACUUUUUACAAACAUUGUCAAGUCUAGAUUCACACUAGGAAACACUGGUUCACUGAAAUGCUGAGUGUCCUUCCACUCCAGGAGCUUACAGGAGGAUGUCUAACACUCCCUCCUGCUAACAUGACCCAGCUCACCUUUGCCUCACUGUGACUCUCCUGUACCCUUUGUGAAGCUCAAGCAUCUACGCCCUUUCUUCAUAAGACAGUCAUUACUGGCUUGCAUAAUUCAUGUUUACCAAGCAUGCAUGCAUCAGGAUAAAGUGUUGUAUGCUUUAUUACAUAUUCCAUAUAAAAAGCCAGGGAUCCCAAUUACAUGGUCAAUAAUUUUUAAAAGUACCUAUAAGAAUGUGUUUGAAUGUCAUUUGACCAAAAUUUUACCAUUAAGAAUUGAAUUUGAAAAUUUUACCAUUAAGUAGAUAAAAACAAGGUCUUGAAACCUAAAAUAAAUUUUGUCAUUUGCCUUUAAUUUUCUAGAUUUGAAAUACCAGUCUUUUUUUUUUUCCAUUUCUUAACUAUCUUAAGUUCAUACAAGGAACCUGCUAUAUCCACCUUUUCUGUCUUUAUCUGGAGGUAGUAGUUACUGGGAUAAGGUGGGUUGCCUAUCUUUGUUUUUAUGCAACUAAAUGCAUGCAUUAAUGCAUGAUUUACACAAAAUUUUCAAAAUUUUUAGAGAAAUUCCAAGUUAAACAAUGUGAUGUCUCUGUGUCUUCACACUUUGUAGUUUAUGUUCCAAGCACUGUAUUAUUUCUCCCCAUCUUCCAAGCAAAUAGCAGAUUGAAGUCCAAUUCCACAUUUGAGCCCUGAUGGGCGAUCAUGAUAUGACAACCUCACAAGAGUCUCCGUAUAUUGAAAUUAGAGCUUUAUCCUUGAGAAUAUGGCCUUCUCUUCUGAGGUUCUCCCAAAGGCAAGGAAUUAAAUACAUAUUAGAUGUUGUCAGGAAGACCACAUAAGUAGGUGAUGUAAAGUAAAUUUGAUCACCAUGCCAUUUUCUCCUGUGAAUACUUGGCAAUUACAGACUACGUCCAAUAUUACAUAAUGUGACAAACUGACGUCAUUGCACAUAAGCUUCAUCUCACUCUCUGCAACGAAUCAUGACUUUAGUGUUUCAGACAGGGAAGGGUUGGUGUUGAGGGACUUUGGGUGGUUGUAAAGUAGAAAGGGCAGAGGUCAAGGCUUUGGCAGGUAUCUGACUCUAAAGUUGGUAACUUUAACCACUGUACCCUUGCCUUUGUUGUAGAAGCCAGCAUCGAGCUGGCUUAGGAAACUCAGAAGACCUGAGAUCUAGUCCUGGUUUUCUAUAACCAGUAUGUGGUGGGUAGCAGCAAUCAAGUCUCAUUUCUGAGGCUCCUAAUCCAUCAGCCAACUACACUUCAAGUCUGCCUGUCAAUAGAUAGCCCAUUAUUAAUAUCCACUUGGUAAGUGGGCAGGUAGAAACCACCAGUCUGUCCCAUUUAUGAAUAUGUAAGCUCUAAGAUGUCCCAAAGCUCUUGUUCUACACCAGAGGGAGGACCUUGCCCUUAACUCAUAUAUCUUUAAAGAUAUCCUCUCCAUGUUAUCGGUGCCUACCUCCAUAUUGCCCAAUCUCAGAAGUACAGAUUUUAGUUAUAUAGUUACUUAUUUUUGAUGGUACUAGGAGUCAAGCCCAGGGUCUCAUGCUGACUAUGCAGUCACACUACUAACUGAGCUAUAUCUUCAAUCUUUUGAAGUUCUGAUUUCUUUUUCAAAAAAUUCGUUUUUUUAAAUUUACACUUACAACUUCUUACCAAUACUUAAGACAAAGAUCUUAGAAAAUAACAAUAAUAAUCACUAGAAAAAUUAGUAAGAGAUAAUGUGGACCUUUCUACAUUUCUUUUCUCCAUGAAUUGAAAUUCAUAAUUCAUGUAUUUUUAAAACCAUAUUAUGCUAUACCCAUGCUUAGAUGGGUAAAGGCUCUUAGUUCCACCCAAGAGAUGCAUCUGUUUCCCUAUUUCCUGUUUUCUCCCCACCCCUUGGAAAAUAAUAUUUUAACAGUUAAAAUAGUUUCUGCAAAAGCAACCUGACACCAAAUUUCUGUUGAUAAAUAAAUAUGUUCUUUUUACAAGGUCAUGGCGGAAGAGGAGUAAGCCAGGACUCAGCCCCAGUUUCUCUCUGUUGUUGUUGUUGUAGUUGUUGUUGUUGUUUGGUUGGUUUUUAUGUUUUUGCUUUUUGUCUUUGUUUGUUUUUGGUGUGUGUGUGUGUGUGUGUGUGUGUGUGCCCCUGUGGGAAUCUAGUAGCACUACAGAUUCUGCUGAAUAACCCACAUGGAAAAACCUUGUUCUUUCAUGCCAUCAAGAAUCUCAUUUAUUAUAUACCAGUGCAAAUCCUAGAUCUUUCAUAGCUUUUCCAAGAUAAAAGCAGUAUUAAAAGUACUGGUAGUCACAGUAACUGAACUCUCAUUUGUUACAAGUUUAAGAAUAGUAGAAAAUUCUAUGCUGUCUGCUCCAUGUCUAGACAAUGUCCUAAGACCAGACAUUAAAAGGGAAUUGGAGGAGGCCUGGAGCAUAGCUCACGUGGUAAAGUAAGUGUCACGCAAGCAUGAGGACCUGCCUUUGAUUUCAGCAGCUAUGUAAAAAGUCUGGCAUAAUGACAUAUGCUUGUAAUCUCAGCACAGGGGUUCAUGGGGCUCACUGGACAGGCAACGUAGCCUAAUUGGCGAAUCUCAGGACUGAGUGAGCAACCCUGUCUC